CGAGGCAUAUAGCGGUUCCCAGGCUAGGGGUCAAAUCAGAGCCGUAGCUGCCAGCCUACACCACAGCCACAGCAAUGUGGGAUCCCAGCUGCAUCUGCAACCUACACCACAGUUCACAGCAACACUGGAUCCUUAACCCACUGAGCAAGGCCAGGGAUCAAACCUUCAUCCUCAUGGAUACUAGUCAGGUUUGUUUCCACUGAGCCACAAUGGGAACUCCUGAAAUUCAAAUGGUUUCUCUUUGGCCAGAGGAAACCUGUUCAGGUUGGCCAGGGGCGGGGAGGGGGGGGUCCUUCUUAAUGAUGGGGGCCUCCCUUCUCUCCUCUAACCUGAAGAGAAAUCCUACUUUCCCCUCCCUUUGCUCCUGGGACUCUUGAGCACAAAGUUAAAAACAUCCCUUCCCUGUAGCUCUAGUUCUGCCUCUGGCUGUGAGCUUUCUCAACGACAUGUGUCUGUGUAUCUCAAGAAUGCAUCUUCCUCUUGCCAGAAGUAUCUGGAUUCACUUGCUAAAAAGUCAAGGUCAACCGUCAGGGCUAAGAGGACCCUAAGAAGACAGGACAGCUACAUGUCACAUGAUGUCCUAGAUGGGAUCCUGGAACAGAAAAAGGACGUUAGGUAAAAGCUAAGGAAAUUGGAACAAAGCAUGGCUACUAAGAGUGAAACAAUCAUUAAUUGUUACAAACGUACCGUACUAAAAGGUGUUAGAGGUUAAUAAUAAAGGAAACUGGUAUGGGUUAUAUGGGAAUGCCCUGCAUUAUCUUUGCAAUUUUUCUGUAACUCUAAAACUGCUCUAAAAUCAAAAGUUUGUUUAAAAAAGAAGAAGAAACUCAUUGACUUGGAGAACAGACUUGUUGCCAAGGAGGAGAGGGAGGGAGUGGGAUGGACUGGGAGUUUGGUGUUAGCAGUGGAUAAGCAAUGAGAUCCUGCUGUAUAGCCCUAGGAACUAUAUCUAGUCACUUGGGAUGGAGCAUGGUGGAGGAUAAUGUGAGAAAGAGAGAGAGAGUAUGUGUGUGUAUGUGUAUUUAAAGGGUAAUCCCAAAGAACACAAAGAAUGGAAAGGUAGAGGAAUAGUGGGGGAAAAAAAGGAACAGCCAAGUUUUGGAAGCUGAGGGUAGUUUGUUGGAUGAGGGGAAAAUGCUUCAAUGGAGCAGAAAAAUGCAACCCUCGGUGUUGCUGAGCAGACUCCAACAAAGGAUCAAGGAAGGAAAUCAAGAAAGGGUUGAGACAUGGGACCCAGGAAACAGGUACUAAUAUAGGGACAGUAGGUGAGAGGAGACCCCAGGGAGAGUGCCACGUAGCACACGUGAGAGCCACCAGCAUGGGCAGGCAUAGGAGGAGAGGGCUCUGGGGAAAACUCCUGGAGUUUAGGAAAAAAGAAACAGCAGCAGCAUUUAUUAAUUCUAGGAAAUACUGUUUUAAGUAUUAAGAAAUGACUGUAUUGUUCUACGAGCCUCAGUUGUGAAGGAUAUUGGCAGUCAUGUAGGAGAAAUGCUGAAUAUCUAUUUAAUUUCAAAAAAUGCUAUAGUUGGAGUUCCUCUUGUGGUGCAGGGGAAAUGAAUCUGACUAGGAACCAUGAGGUUGUAGGUUCAAUCCCUGUCCUCACUUACUGGGUUAAGGAUCCCGAGUGGCUGUGACUGUGGUGUAGGCCAGCAACUAUAGCUCCGAUUCAACCCCUAGCCUGGGAACUUCAAUAUGCCAUGGAUGUGGCCCUGAAAAGCAAAAUAAUAAUAAUAGUAAUAAUAAGGAGUUCCCUGGUGGUCUAGUGGUUAGGAUUUGGCACUUUCGCUGUUAUGGUCUGGGUCCGAUCCCUGGUCUGGGAACUGAACUAAGAUGCCACAUUAAGCUGUUGCUUACUGCAGCCAAAAAAUAGUGAUGAUCUGUGGUUCCCAGGAACAUGCAUAGGAUAUGUGUGGUAUACAUACAUAGCAGUCAUUUAAUAAAACUCGAUUGCAAGUUCCUUCAAAAAAAAAAUAAUGAUGAUGAUGAUUGUUAAAUAAAAAGACAGUAGGGGAGUUCCCGUCGUGGUGCAGUGGAAACAAAUCCGACUAGGAACCAUGAAGUUGCAGGUUCAAUCCCUGGCCUUGCUAAAUGGGUUGAGGAUCUGGCAUAGCCAUGAGCUGUGGUGUGGGUCACAGAUGCAGCUCGGAUCCCACAUUGCUGUGGCUGUGGCGUAGGCCGGUAGCAACAGCUCCGAUUAGACCCCUAGCCUGGGAACCUCCAUAUACUGAGAGAGGCCUCGGGAGAAACCAGCCCAGCCAACACCUUCAUCUCAGACUUCUAGCUUCCAGAACUGGGAGACCAUAACUGCAUUAUGUAAGCCACUCUUCUGCCGUCUUUGGUUCUGGCAGUGCGAGCAGCCUGAUACACUUGGGCUCAGCUGUGGAAGUGGAUGGUCAUGCUGCACUUGGCCUGGGGAAUGGGUUGAUACGGGCCAUGGCCUUGAAUGCAAUGCUGAUUCUUAAAAGAACGUUUUAAAAGUGUUCUUUCGCUUGCUGGAGCCUCAGAUCAGCUAAGUCUGGCUGCAAAGGGUGACAUUUUCUAUCAGCACAGCAAAGGCUCCUUGGAGUGUGGUUUUCCCACUUGUUGCCGUGACAGGGGUGGGCCCCUCCACCUGGACUUCCUAUGUCCUCUCUCAGUAACCAAGCAUCCUUCAGUCCCUUUGGAGAAACGGUUUGCUUUUGCCUUUUGGGCUUUACUCUUUGGAAGCCACAGGAACUCAGUGUCCAAGAGGAUUUCGUGGAAGGCAAGCUGCCUUGUGGUUGUUUUUUGGCAAAUACCGAAGUUAUCUCAUUUUUUGUACUAAGACACAAGAAGUGUUCUUCUGAGUGAACCGCUGCAGGUCCCUGUAAAAAUGUCAUGAUCUUGCAAGUGUGUUUCCCUGGUAGUACAAACCCUGAUACUGAAGAAAAGAAUUCCUGAGAACGUCAUAUGAGGUUCAGCCAUAUUAUGGAAAUAGGACCACUUUCAUGGGUCCGAACACUGGAAACUAAAACGAUGAGAAAUUUUCCCCAACUCAAGCAAUAAAAUAAUUUUUUAUGCUUCAUGGAUUUUUUGGCAGUUUGCUUGCAAUUGCUUAUAGACUAUCUACUUGUUCUAGUUCAAUUUGUCUUCUCUGGAUGAAUCUGUGUGUGCAUAUUGUUCUUAAUCUUAACCCUUAUUAUAAUGUCUCCAAAUUCCAGUGGAGAUGGAGUUACUCUUCCAAACUGCUUGCUCUUGUAUCAAGAGGUGGAGGUGUUGUCCUGGGAAUCUUGUCAGGGCUGAAGAUUCUCUAGAAGAGGUGGACUAGCUUCUGUUUGUCCUCUUGUCCAUUCAAGCUCAUGUGCUGGGGGCAUGAAGAGAAAAACAGACCAAGGACAUUGGAGCAUCAAUGGCUUUUAGUUUUGUGGAUCUGUUGAAACUUACAGCUAUGGCCAGUUUUGUGCUGCUUAUUUUAUUAUUAUUUAUUCUUUUAUUAUCCUGGAUUUGAGGGCUUUACACUUUCCACUAACCCAGUAUAUUUGUCUGUGUGCAUUAAUGGCCUAAGUUUGCUGUGCCCAGAGCAGCCCUCCUCGUUGCUGGGAGGUCCCCCCCCUCCCCGCUAACCUUUUACAGCUGCUCUCACAGCAGCAAAAAGUAUAUGUAAGAGGGCAGCUGUUUUGCAAGUGCUGUCUUGGUGUUUCUUCAUUUUUCUUGAUAACUCUCUUGUGCUGUCAUAACAACUGGAGCCCAGUGGUUGUGUAAGGCAGACUGUGGGCCUUUAUUUGCAGAACACAGAACUUCAGUGAAGGAUAGUGGUGUCUGCCCUUCACCUCAGGGGGUCUUACAGGAGGACAGAGUAACUAGCAGCUGUAGCUCACCGAUUUACAACAAAAAGACCAUUUCUGGCAAUAUUCACUGAAAGAAAUAAAUGUUUCAGAGCUUCGUCUGUAUAAUAGAAGCAAAAUUCAGUUCUCUAAAAAUCUGAACUUUGUCUUCUAUGUACUUGCUUUCUUCAUUUUCACAGUGAGUUACUUUGUCAUGUUUGUUUCGCCACAAUUCUAAGAUCCUGACCACAGCCAUCUAAAGGAUCAGCUUGCUUUACAAAUCUCAAGGAAUUCAGUUGAUGUUGUCUGAACUACCCAAGAAGCAAGAUGCAAAUGUUCUCAAGGUGUGCUUUCACCUCUUUGUUAAAUGCCAUACUGUAUAAUGAAAAUACAUUCAAGAAAUUAUUAAAGUAAAAAUUCGUAUGUCCUCUGGUAACAUGCUAAAAUAUGCUGUCUGUAAUAUGUAUGGUCUAUAUUUUAGGAGGAGUUUUAUGGAAUACUGAAAAUGAACAUCCCAGAAGAACAGUUUUAAGCAUAUUCAUGCAAAUAUGAUAGAGCUUAGAAGGGAAUUCUUGAGGCAAAAUAUCUGAUUCACUGAUACACUUAUUCUGUGUAUACUGUACUGUCUUCGUAGAAACUUUCACAGCACUGCAUGGUUGGGGUCAUAGAUCUGUGACAACCUAUGACAAGUCAUGUAUUACAUAGUUUAAAGUAUUGUACUGCUGUAAAUUCGGUUUGAUAAAGCUUUGCCCAAUUUAGAGGCUAAAAAGAAAUCUUCACUUUUCAAUUAAGCAAUUGCCAUGGUAAAAUGGCAUAAAACAAUUCUUUUCAUCUAAAAAUAUACUAUAGCCAUAAUUCAAGUAGGCUCAAGUAGGCUUUUAAAAAUGCUAUGCUUUUGUCUAAUUAGCGAUUGGGUUAGAGAUUUAAUGAUUUCCCUGGGAACGUUGUUCUAAUGCUCAGUAUAGAAGGUUACAUUUCAUACCUCUGUCUGCCACAGACACAAACGCGUGCCUUCUGCCUCACAUACCUUUGCUUCCUGUGUCACUUACCCUUCGAGGCCAAUUUCUAGAACUUUCCACUAGGGCAGAAUGGACCUCCUCUUCCCUGAACAUCAGCAGCCUGUCCCCCACCCCUCUGUGUGAGGCUCCCUAACCCCUUUAGAAAAGAGAAACUGAAGCCUCUACUUUGCAAAUCUUCACAAUUGCCGUUUGCAAAACAACACACCCCCUGGGCGACUGAGCCAACAGACUGAAGUCAAACAUUUGUUUGAAAUCAUCAAGUCAAACACAAGUAAUACUUGAAAUGAAGAGAAGCCUUACAAGGCAGCAGUGCAGAAUGUCAAAGACCAAACAUUUCUUUCUCACAAAGCCUAACUAUAGAGGUUAUCUCCCCAGGUGACCCUCAGGGGCGGGGCUAACCUGUCCGGGCUACUUUAGCUACUCCAGGACUUGUGUGUUUGAUGCCUGUGGCAUAAACACAUCUGAAAUGCCUAAUUAAUGCCAAAGACCCCAA
rnacentral:lncRNA from 1 species